rnacentral:rRNA from 1 species
AUUGUAGUCUGCAACCCGACUACANGAAGCUGGAAUCGCUAGUAAUCGCGGAUCAGAAUGCCGCGGUGAAUACGUUCCCGGGUCUUGUACACACCGCCCGUCACACCAUGGGAGUCGGAAAUGCCCGAAGUCUGUGACCCAACCAUUAAGGAGGGAGCAGCCGAAGGCAGGUCGGAUGACUGGGGUGAAGUCGUAACAAGGUACC